CAGCUAAACUGCAACCAGAUUCCUGGUCCACACAUACUGUGAGAUAAUAAUAAAUGCUUUUUGUUUUAAGCUGCUAAAGUUUGGAAUCAUUUGCUUUUCAGCAAAGGUAACUAAGACAGGAUCCCAUAAAGGACUCAAGACUCUUCUGGUCUCAAACCAGGGUCUCCAACUGGCUGAACUAAGCUGAAAGUCUGAUGCCCGGGAAAGACAACCUACAGAGACUUGAAUUUUGUGUAACACAGAAGAUAACAGAAACAACAACAACAACAACAACAAGGAAUGAUAAUGGGGGAAAAUAAGCACAGGAUUAGCACAAGUGUCAUUGGAGCAGAUAAACAAGCCUUUUACAUCUUUUGCACCAUCCUGUCUCCUCAACCUCCCAAAUCACUGAGAUUACAGAUGUGA
rnacentral:lncRNA from 1 species